UACGGGGGGGGUAAGCGUUGUUCGGAAUUACUGGGCGUAAAGGGCUCGUAGGCGGCCAACUAAGUCGGACGUGAAAUCCCUCAGCUUAACUGGGGAACUGCGUCCGAUACUGGAUGGCUUGGAUUUGGGAGAGGGAUGCGGAAUUCCAGGUGUAGCGGUGAAAUGCGUAGAUAUCUGGAGGAGCACCGGUGGCGAAGGCGGCAUCCUGGACCGGUAUUGACGCUGAGGAGCGAAAGCCAGGGGAGCAAACGGG
rnacentral:rRNA from 1 species